rnacentral:rRNA from 2 species
AUUGGGGUGAAGUCGUAACAAGGUAGCCGUAGGUGAACCUGCGGCUGGAUCACCUCCUUU